rnacentral:rRNA from 1 species
UACAGAGGGUGCAAGCGUUAAUCGGAAUUACUGGGCGUAAAGCGUGCGUAGACGGUAGCGUAAGUCGGGUGUGAAAGCCCCGGGCUCAACCUGGGAAUUGCAUUCGAGACUGCUCUGCUAGGGUGCGGAAGAGGGAAGCGGAAUUUCCGGUGUAGCGGUGAAAUGCGUAGAUAUUCGGAAGAACACCAGUGGCGAAGGCGACUUACUGGACACAUAUUGACGCUGAGGUGCGAAAGCGUGGGGAGCAAACAGG